GAAGAGUUAGUAUAUAUGUAUUACCCACCCUUGUCAAGGGUGAAAUAUAGGACAAAACCCUUUACUCUUCU
rnacentral:tRNA from 1 species